CCUACGGGAGGCAGCAGUGAGGAAUAUUGGUCAAUGGGAGAGAUCCUGAACCAGCCAAGCCGCGUGAGGGAAGACGGCCCUAUGGGUUGUAAACCUCUUUUGUCGGAGAACAAAACCCGGGACGAGUCCCGGACUGCGUGUAUCCGAAGAAAAAGCAUCGGCUAACUCCGUUCUAGCAGCCGCGGAAAUACGGAGUAAGAGGGCGUUAUCCGGACUGAUUUGGGUUAAAGGGUGCGUAGGAGGUCCGUGAAAGCAGCGGUAAAAUUGCGGGGCUCAACCCAGUCGGGCGGUUGAAACUUGCCGAUUGUGUUGGGCGAGAAGGUCGCGGAAUGCGCGGUUUAGCAGUGGAAUG
rnacentral:rRNA from 1 species